AUACUACUCCCUCCGUCCGGAAAUACUUGUCUCAGAGAUGAAUGUACCUAGACUUAUUUUAGUUAUAGAUACAUCAAUUAUAUCUAUUUCUAGGACAAGUAUUUCCGGACGAAGGGAGUAUUAU
rfam:Hordeum vulgare subsp. vulgare, WGS project CAJW01000000 data, contig: morex_contig_1587342